rnacentral:rRNA from 1 species
AUUGAACGCUGGCGGAAUGCUUUACACAUGCAAGUCGAACGGUAGAGGGGGCAACCCCUCGAGAGUGGCGCACGGGUGAGUAAUAUAUCGGAACGUGCCCAGUCGUUGGGGAUAACGUAGCGAAAGUUACGCUAAUACCGCAUACGAUCUAAGGAUGAAAGCGGGGGAUCGCAAGACCUCGCGCGAUUGGAGCGUCCGAUAUCAGAUUAGGUAGUUGGUGGGGUAAAGGCUCACCAAGCCAAUGAUCUGUAGCUGGUCUGAGAGGACGACCAGCCACACUGGAACUGAGACACGGUCCAGACUCCUACGGGAGGCAGCAGUGGGGAAUUUUGGACAAUGGACGCAAGUCUGAUCCAGCCAUUCCGCGUGCAGGAUGAAGGCCCUCGGGUUGUAAACUGCUUUUGUACGGAACGAAAAGGUCUCUCUUAAUACGGGGGACUCAUGACGGUACCUGAAGAAGAAGCACCGGCUAACUACGUGCCAGCCGCCGCAGUAA